GACGAACGCUGGCGGCGUGCUUAACACAUGCAAGUCGAACGGAAAGGCCCUGCUUUUGUGGGGUGCUCGAGUGGCGAACGGGUGAGUAACACGUGAGUAACCUGCCCUUGACUUUGAGAUAACUUCAGGAAACUGGGGCUAAUACCGGAUAGGAGCUCCUGCUGCAUGGUGGGGGUUGGAAAGUUUCGGCGGUUGGGGAUGGACUCGCGGCUUAUCAGCUUGUUGGUGGGGUAGUGGCUUACCAAGGCUUUGACGGGUAGCCGGCCUGAGAGGGUGACCGGCCACAUGGGGACUGAGAAACGGCCCAGACCCCCACGGGGGGAAGGAGGGGGGAAUAUUGCAAAAGGGGCGGAGCCCGGAUGCAGAAACCCCGGGUGGGGGAGGACGGCUUUCGGGUGGUAAACCGUUUUCGCCGGUGACGAAGGGGGGGGGAGGGUAAGGGGUAAAGAAGCACCGGCAAACUACGU
rnacentral:rRNA from 1 species